rnacentral:rRNA from 1 species
AAUGGGACCCUAGUGGCGGACGGGUGAGUAACGCGUGGGUAACCUGCCCCAUACCGGGGGAUAACACUUAGAAAUAGGUGCUAAUACCGCAUAAGCGCACGGUACUGCAUGGUACAGUGUGAAAAACUCCGGUGGUAUGGGAUGGACCCGCGUCUGAUUAGCUUGUUGGCGGGGUAACGGCCCACCGAGGCGACGAUGCGUAGGGGUUCUGAGAGGAAGGUCCCCCACACUGGUACUGAGACACGGACCAGACUCCUACGGAAGGCAGCAG